UUGAUAUGGCUUCCAUUUCCAUUGCUUGUUGAAGACGCGGAUCUCUCGGUCGUUACCCUCCUUGCUGGAACACGCUAAACUCCGAGAAGGCCCGCAAGAGAAGAAGCACCAGCAACAGCCGCAGCAGCAGCUCCCCUUCUCCAAUAGCCGCAGCAGGUGCCUUUGUUUGGAGUCGCAAAGCAUUGGUUUCAGAGGGAGUACGGAAGAUUUCUAGAAGCCGUAGCCCGAGAAGUCAUGUGCUUUUUGUGGGGGAUCACCCAUAAGCCAUGUGGCCCAUCAUAUGGGUCAUUUUAUCAUCCAAAGGCAAGCCUCAUAUGUUCAGUUCAUUUGCUCAGACCAAAUGUUUUUUGUUGUUGUUGUUGUUGAUGGAAGACUAGCGUUUUUUCUAUGCCCCAAAUAGCACCUGCUUCCUUUGGCUUUCUGUAGUUUUUACUCCUUUUUGGCUUUGUUGUGUAGGCCUGCAAGAGGAAGAAGCACCAGCAACAGUAGCUUCCCUUCUCUAAGAGCCAAUUAGCACCUUGGUUCUUAGCAGGUAGGUAUGCCUCUCUCUCUCUCUCUCUCUCUCUCUCUCUCUCUCUCUCUCUCCAGGUUUCAUCAUGUCUAUUGGGUGCAAUCUGGGAAGCGAAAGGCUGGAACAUGCAGAAAGUAACUUCAGAAGCUAGAAGUUGGUGCUGAUAUCAAAGACACCGUAGGUUGGUGGGUUUUGGUGUCCAGAGAGUUGUGUUGGGUCUUCAGUACUCAAGUAUGGGCUGGCUAGUUUGGACAUUUUACUUUAGAACAUGUAUGGUGCUAUUGACAUAGGUGGGUUAUGGAUAAAUUCCUACUUGGAUUUUUUUUAGUACCCCCGAAAGCGUUGAGGCAGUUGAAUUUGGUCAUGAUAUAAACAUGCACUAGAAACGUAUGGUUAUAAAUGCAUGGAUUGUUGAUA